rnacentral:tRNA from 1 species
CGCCAAGCGGUAAGGCACCGGUUUUUGAUACCGGCAUUCCCUGGUUCGAAUCCAUCGAAGAA